rnacentral:rRNA from 1 species
AAUGAACGCUGGCGGCAUGCCUAACACAUGCAAGUCGAACGAAGGCUUCGGCCUUAGUGGCGCACGGGUGCGUAACGCGUGGGAAUCUGCCCUCAGGUUCGGAAUAACAGCGAGAAAUUGCUGCUAAUACCGGAUGAUAUCGCGAGAUCAAAGAUUUAUCGCCUGAGGAUGAGCCCGCGUAGGAUUAGCUAGUUGGUGAGGUAAAAGCUCACCAAGGCGACGAUCUGUAGCUGGUCUGAGAGGAUGAUCAGCCACACUGGAACUGAGACACGGUCCAGACUCCUACGGGAGGCAGCAGUGGGGAAUAUUGGACAAUGGGCGCAAGCCUGAUCCAGCCAUGCCGCGUGAGUGAUGAAGGCCUUAGGGUUGUAAAGCUCUUUCAGUGGGGACGAUAAUGACGGUACCCGCAGAAGAAGCCCCGGCUAACUUCGUGCCAGCAGCCGCCGUAA